UGGGGAAUAUUGGACAAUGGGCGAAAGCCUGAUCCAGCCAUGCCGCGUGUGUGAAGAAGGUCUUCGGAUUGUAAAGCACUUUAAGUUGGGAGGAAGGGCAUUAACCUAAUACGUUGGUGUCUUGACGUUACCGACAGAAUAAGCACCGGCUAACUCUGUGCCAGCAGCCGCGGUAAUACAGGGGGUGCAAGCGUUAAUCGGAAUUACUGGGCGUAAAGCGCGCGUAUGUGGUUUGUUAAGUUGGAUGUGAAAGCCCCGGGCUCAACAUGGGAACUGCAUCAAAACCUGGCAAGCUAUAGUAUGGUAGAGGGUGGUGGAAUUUCCUGUGUAGCGGUGAAAUGAGUAGAUAUACGAAGGAAAACCAGUGGCGAAGGCGACCACCUGGACUGAUACUGACACUGAGGUGCGAAAGCGUGGGGAGCAAACA
rnacentral:rRNA from 1 species